rnacentral:rRNA from 1 species
AUUGAACGCUGGCGGCAGGCCUAACACAUGCCAGUCGAGCGGAUGAAGGGAGCUUGCUCCUGGAUUCAGCGGCGGACGGGUGAGUAAUGCCUAGGAAUCUGCCUGGUAGUGGGGGAUAACGUCCGGAAACGGGCGCUAAUACCGCAUACGUCCUGAGGGAGAAAGUGGGGGAUCUUCGGACCUCACGCUAUCAGAUGAGCCUAGGUCGGAUUAGCUAGUUGGUGGGGUAAAGGCCUACCAAGGCGACGAUCCGUAACUGGUCUGAGAGGAUGAUCAGUCACACUGGAACUGAGACACGGUCCAGACUCCUACGGGAGGCAGCAGUGGGGAAUAUUGGACAAUGGGCGAAAGCCUGAUCCAGCCUUGCCGCGUGUGUGAAGAAGGUCUUCGGAUUGUAAAGCACUUUAAGUUGGGAGGAAGGGCAGUAAGUUAAUACCUUGCUGUUUUGACGUUACCAACAGAAUAAGCACCGGCUAACUUCGUG